rnacentral:rRNA from 5 species
GAUACCCCAGGUCAGGCGGGGCUACCCGCUGAGUUUAAGCAUAUCAAUAA